AGUCAUGUAAUAUUCAACAAAAUAUUACUCUAAUUAACAAAAUACUUACAUUUAUUUGUUAUGCUUUCUAACUAAAUAAAGCUUUUGGGAAUGGUGGAGGAGACAUAAAAAGAUCAGGCAUUGAUUUUAAAUGUUUAUUUUUCUAUUUUAAUUUUGAUUUUGAUUUAAUUUUUGUGUAUUCUUUCUUAUUAUUUUCAUUUUAUUCUAGCUCCUAAUGCUCCAGUUGUCAUCACUGAAGAAUGUAGUGCUGAAAACAAUAGUGUCACAAUUGCCUGGCAACCUCCAGCUUCAUCAUUUGUUGAAGGCUAUAUUUUAGAAUUGGAUGAUGGAAAUAAUGGAGAUUUCAGAGAAGUUUACUGUGGUGGAGAAACAAUUUGUACAGUUGAUGGUUUACAUUUUAACUGUACUUACAAUGCUCGUGUCAAAGCAUUCAAUAGUGCUGGUGAGGGCGAAUACAGUGAAAUUAUAGGAUUACAAACUUCUGAAGUGGCUUGGUUUAAUUUUGAUCCAUGCUUGAGUUCUCCUGAAUUAUGUUUCACUCCUGAUAAUUGUACAGUGACUUGUGAGGGUUUUGAACAUCGUGUUGCUCUUGGUAGUGUUGGUUUUUCUAGAGGAGUUC